CCGCGCCUCGUCUCUAUGGCGGCCACUCGGCGGUCCCCGGCGCGGAGCAGCAUGAUCGCGGGAGGAGGCGCCGAGGUCGCGGCGCGGUCCCACGAGGACAGUCCCGGAGGGGCUGACUUCGCCCCGUCGGCGCUGGGGACCCGACAGCAUUGGGAUGCUGUCUAUGAGAGAGGACUGAACAAUUUCCAGGAAUAUGGAGAUAGAGGAGAAAUUUGGUUUGGGGAAGAGAGUAUCAAUCGACUGACAAGGUGGAUGCAGAGACAAAAGAUUCCACUGGAUGCUUCAGUGCUUGAUAUUGGAACUGGAAAUGGUGUUUUCCUGGUUGAACUUGCAAAACUUGGUUUCUCUAAUAUUACUGGAAUUGAUUAUUCCCCUCCUGCAAUACGGCUGUCUGGAAGUGUCCUAGAGAAAGAAGGCCUAUCUAACAUUAAGUUGAAGGUGGAAGACUUUUUGAAUCUCCCCACAGAGCUGUCUGGAUUUCACAUUUGUAUCGACAGAGGGACUUUCGAUGCCAUAAGCCUCAAUCCUGACAAUGCAGCUGAGAAGAGGGAGCAGUAUGUGAAAUCUCUCUCCAGGGUGUUGAAAGUGAAAGGCUUUUUUCUAAUAACCUCGUGUAAUUGGACUAAGGAAGAGUUGCUAAAUGAAUUCAGUGAAGGACUGGAACUUUUCGAGGAGUUGCCAACACCCAAGUUCAGCUUCGGAGGCCGAUCCGGAAGCAGUGUCGCGGCGUUGGUUUUCCAGAAAACGCAAGACUUCUCAUUGGACAAAUCCAGUUAGCUUUUUUUUCAAAGGAGCCCCUCGUCAGAGUAAACCUGACACAGAAAGUGCAAGUGCAAGUGCAAGUAAUUGCUUACUUCUUUUGCCCAGAGCUCCUCCCUCCAGUGAGCUGCAAGCGUGACAUUGGCUGUGUUUUCAGCACCUGCCAACUUGGAAAUCAGGGUCUGUGCUCAGGACUUACUAGGCUCACAACCCACCCUCCGUGGCGCACAGCGCCGGCCCAGCUGGCGGGCCGCGCACCUCAAUGGCGCUGGACGCCUGGCCUCAGAGCUCUGCAGAGCUGCAGACUGGCAGGCGCUGAUGUCAGUGGGCAUUCCCCUCAAGCCGCUCUCAGCCCGCGUUUCGUGUCAGAGGCGUGAGAUUGGUGUCAUUCAGUUUAGUGCUGUGGUUAUUCUUCAACGAAAAUAAAUUUGUCUUACGUAGUUCUUGAAUCAAAAAGUAGCUGUGCCUCCAGGAACCGAAGUGCCUCUCACGGAAUGCGUGUACGUGGAGACGGGACGCGUGUGCACGUGCACACACGAGGUUCCAAGUCAGGGCUGUCACCCCCUUCACCGGCGGGGAGGUUUCAGCACAUGGGGUGGAAACAGAGAGGGAAGGACAAAGUUCAGUGCGUCGUACACGCUUGUGUGUGCAGGGCGGUUCGCUGCACCUUGAUCGCCGGUGUGGGAGCAACUGCAGACCUUGUUGUUUUGACGAAGAAGACCCACGUGAGAAAACUGCCCCAUCGUAAGUACAGACCCUUAGCUUCCAUCUACGGUCAGAACUUCCCGUAUUUUCCAGAGCACCGUGUUUUGCCAACUCGUGUUCAGUGGCCAGUCUUCUUGAAAAUGCUUCAGGUGAACUUGCCUUCCCAUCAUGUACUAUAAGAAAAUGUAAAAGAUUCUGUGUUAAAGAGAUCUUUGCAAAUGGAGAAAGGACAAUGUGAAAUGUGAGUGACUGGCUUUUAAUUCAGCGGCUGUGACAGAGGCACGGGGGCUCUGGGAGGUGAACAAGGGAGUCAACACACACACACACACACACACACACACACUGGCAUUCGGCUGUGCGGCUCCACGUGUAACACACUGGGUGUUUGUUUCACUGACUUUGUUCGUCUAAAGAUAAUACGUUAUUCUCAGAGACAAACUAGUUUGUCAUUUUUUAGUGGGGAGCUCUUUUGAAACCAUCGGUACAGGUAGAUUUGAUGGGGAGAACUGAGCAACCUUGUCUGGUCCUUGCUCAAACUUCAAAGCUCAGCUCGAACAUCACAUUUGUCUUGUUCUAAAGGCACAAAAAGAAAACACCCUCUAUACCUAGGAAGCUUCUUAGCGCACGUCAAAACCCAGCCUUUACCCUCCCCUGCACAAAUGUGCUUCGGUGGAAACUUUUAUUAGCUUGUUGAUACAAGUUACAGUUGAUCACACCCUUUCUUAAUAAAAUACACCCUUUUUGUCUCCUGUUGCUUAAGAGCUUUAAACUUGGAAUGAGGGAGCUCUCUACAGAGAAUGACACCAUGUGAACCUCCCAGGCCGUCUGGAGCGGACACGCGGUGCGUGCCGUGCACACA